CUGCUGCCUUCCGUAGGAGCUUGGACCGUGUCUCAGUUCCAAUGUGGGGGACCUUCCUCUCAGAACCCCUAUCCAUCGAUGCCUUGGUGGGCCGUUACCCCGCCAACAAGCUAAUGGAACGCAUCCCCAUCGAUGACCGAAAUUCUUUAAUAGUUCUACCAUGCGGAAGAACUAUGCCAUCGGGUAUUAAUCUUUCUUUCGAAAGGCUAUCCCCGAGUCAUCGGCAGGUUGGAUACGUGUUACUCACCGUG
rnacentral:rRNA from 1 species